UUUUUUUUUUUUUUUGGUAUAAUGUAUUGAAGCUCCCAAAUUUAUUAGGCACAUUCUUGAGGAGAUCGUAUUUUUAUCAGUGUUCAUAUAGUUGUUUUCUGGGAGCAAAAACCCAAGAAGAUUUCUGAAUGAACCAGCAGGCUCCACUGCACGCAUUUCACUGCAGAAGAGAAUGAAUAAGAAAUUGGUUUGGCCCAGUUCAACCACUGGAGAAGAGACAACCUGCACCAUUUAGAACGACUAAUGCAGAUCAAAAUGACGUAGAAUUGUUUUUUUCUAAUUUUUCUAUUUAGAAUAGCUUAAGGGUAGAGGUGAAGAAGGAUUUUUUGUUUGUUUUUGUCUUUUUGCUAUUUCUUUGGGCCGCUCCCGAGGCAUACGGAGGUUCCCAGGCUAAGGGUCUAAUCGGAGCUAUAGCCACGGGCCUAUGCCAGAGCCACAGCAACGCGAGAUCCGAGCCGUGUCUGCAACCUACCCCACAGCUCACGGCAACGCCAGAUCAUUAACCCACUGAGCAAGGGCAGGGACCGAACCCGCAACCUCAUGGUUCCUAGUCGGAUUCGUUAACCACUGCGCCAUGACAGGAACUCCUGAAUUUUUUUUUUUUUAAUCAGAAUCGGUGGACAUUUUCCCUGGAGUUAGAAUCUGUAAAAGAAAAUGAGGGUUCCAAAAUGAAAGCCUAGGAUGGAAACUGGAGUUCUUUCUCAGAUGCUUCACUGGAGCUAAAUCCUGUGUUUUGUACCAGAAGAUCUAAUAGAAUGUAGUUUGUCUGAGAGAAGAGACCUGACCCCUGGCAGAUGGCAAGGGAGGUUUCACAGAGAUGGAGCAUUCAGGCACCAGGCCUGUGGGCUUUAGAACUGACACCUUGCCUGGCAUCUAGGUGGUGUAAGCCCUCUGCAUCCUAUUCCCUUACAUAGUUUCUUUAAUUAAUGAAAAAACAAAAAACUGGUCACUUGGUCUGCGUGUGCUGUGAUGUACUGUCUGACUUCAGUGAAAAGCCCAAGCUCAAGUUCUAAAUAAAAAACGGAUAAAGGGAAAGACAGUGCUUUCCCUGUAGUCAUAUUUGUGUGUUCAGUGACACCAGGACAGGGGCAGUGUUGCCCAGAGGAGUUGUGAUCUCCCAGGAGACAUGCACAGUAGGCAUCUCCCCUAGCAGAGGGCAGGAGGUCAGAGAGGGAAAUGCAAGAAUCUUGUUUCUCAGUGCAUGAGUGAGCAUCUUGGGAGAUUUUAGGAACAGCCUUGGGGAGACCUUAAGAGGCUGAGGUACAGCAAUCAAGGCAGUGGGUCCUAAGCCAUCAUAAAGGUGGCACUUGAUGAAAAUAAGAUCCUGUUUUCUUCUCCCAGACUUAAACACUUGGGUUGUUGUAGGUCUCAAUAAAAGUUAAUUUUACAUCCUCUAGGUAAACAGUAGUUUUCUUAGCUUGACAUUAUUAGAGCCCCCAGGGGUCAAGGUUGUAGCUGGGACCCUGAUAACUCUAAAACCUGGAGAGGUUGAACUAAUCCAUGGAGAAAGCCAGCAAAAUAUGGGGACCUGGGCUACCCAGUUAAUAUAAUAAUGCUAACGUCCACAGAGGCCAGGUAUUUGCUGGAAGUCAGGUGCAUUGUUAAGCACAUUUAUUAUGGCAUCUCAUUGAAGAGCAGCCAAUAAGAUCAUGAAUACUGUCUGUCUUAUACUCAAGAAGGAGACCUGGCCCUUAAAAAGUAAAGAAAAUUCCCUAAAUCUACACAGGUAGGAAGUUAUAGAGUCAAAUUGAAAUUUCAGUCUGUUGGACUUAAAAAUCCAUCGUUUUAAUCAUUAUUACAUCAAUACCCUUUUCAGAUGUACUUUGCUGUCCUGGAUGUGCUUCCUGGUGACCCCUUUAUGUCUGGGAAAGGUAAAGUAAAAACACUUAAUUUUUUUUUUUUUCUUUGAGCAUAGUUGCUCAUCCGGUACUAGGUAGAAGCAAAGAGCCCUCUGACUUUUACUCUAUUAACACUAGUCUGUUUCUUAGGAGGAUUUCUCUUCUUCCAUAAACCCCUGCAAAACAGAGUGUGUUGUUCUGGUUUCUUCCUUUUACUUUCUUGUUCUUGAAUUUAGUUCAACACGAGAUGCUGGCAGUUUUUGCUGCAUGGUGUUUCUCUUUCUCUCUCUUCUCUCUCUCUCCUUCUCACACACACACAUACACACACACACAGAGCCAAUCACAUAUUCUCUGUGAUUGUUAGGCUGUUAGCAAUAACAAAAAAGAAGUAUGAAUUCUUGUGGAUCCCAAGAUUUAACUCUAGAUGUCUAAAUGGAAUUUUAAAAGAACAUAAAGAUAAGCUACAUCUCACUUUGCAUAUCAUAUUAUAGAAGUCCUGUGGAAAUAGUCCUAUAUAUAUAGUCCUAUAUAUAUAGGUAUGUGUGGGUGUAUAUAUAUACACACACAAAGAGAGAAUAUAUGUGUAUAUGUAUAUAUAUGAAUGAAUAAUAGUCUAUAUGUUUAUAUGUGUACAUGUCCAUAGAUAACAUAUAUACUUUAUAUAGCUAUAUCUAUAUACUUGAUUCACUUGAAAGAAAAUUAGAACUUUCAGAGUUCCCAUCGUGGCGCAGUGGUUAACGAAUCCUACUAGGAACCUGAGCCACGACGGGAACUCCAUGAAUAGAGCACUUUGAAUCU
rnacentral:lncRNA from 1 species